rnacentral:rRNA from 1 species
AGCGAACGCUGGCGGCAGGCCUAACACAUGCAAGUCGAACGAACCUUUCGGGGUUAGUGGCGGACGGGUGAGUAACACGUGGGAACGUGCCUUUAGGUUCGGAAUAACUCAGGGAAACUUGUGCUAAUACCGAAUGUGCUCUUCGGGGGAAAGAUUAAUCGCCUUUAGAGCGGCCCGCGUCUGAUUAGCUAGUUGGUUGAGGUAAUGGCUCACCAAGGCGACGAUCAGUAGCUGGUCUGAGAGGAUGAUCAGACACAUUGGGACUGAGACACGGCCCAAACUCCUACGGGAGGCAGCAGUGGGGAAUCUUGCGCAAUGGGCGAAAGCCUGACGCAGCCAUGCCGCGUGAAUGAUGAAGGUCUUAGGAUUGUAAAAUUCUUUCACCGGGGACGAUAAUGACGGUACCCGGAGAAGAAGCCCCGGCUAACUUCGUG